rnacentral:lncRNA from 1 species
CUACCAAAGGCCAUGUAAGGACCAGGGAAGGGGAGCAGAAUUGCCAACAAAUUGAAAUUCACAAUCACAUGAAAAAAGAGGUGAAAGUACAGCAGCUCUCCAUUACAAUCACAGCUGGUCCGAGGAUUGUCGCGAUUGCUGUCAGAGGUCUAGACCAAUUGCUGUAUGUACCGACUUUUCCAUCACUUAAAGUUCAGUGCAUGAGAAACAGCUCUGGGCUUAUCUUUUAUGUACAAGGUAAUUUCACCAGACACAUACAGACAAAAGGAUCUUUAUGUAUCUAUUUUCAAUAAUGUAUUUCUCCCAUACUGUAAGCAAUUAUCUGCUCCAUGGAAAAUCUGGGAUGUGGGAAGGGUUUUUAGAAAAUUCCCAUAAACUGCUUCCUAAUGGUUGUUGAGGGUUGUUUUGUUUUCUUUUCUUUUCUUUUUCCCAUUAUAACAUAUUGGCUUGCAUUGGUCAUAACCACACAAAGUAGCAGUUUUUUAAUCCCACAUGCUCCUUAUAUUUUUGUAAUGAACACAUGAAACAAAAUGAACAAGACUUAAGUUAGUAUUUCUUAUUGGAAGACUAAUCAACUUGGAGCUGGCAAUUUUUAUUUAAAUCCAAAGGAACAGCCAAUAAUGAAGUAUAAACAAUACAGCAAUAUAGUCAAUCAUGUAAUAUGUGAUUCAAAAAAAUCUUUACAAGAAAUGUACCACCACUCUAUGUAUGGGCUACAAAUUCACAUUAAAUAAUGAAAAGGUGCAAAUUACCGACACACCAGAAACAAGUGUACAUAAGUUAAUGAAUGAUGUAUUAACCCAGACAAUGGCAAAAAUCAUAAAUCAUGGUUGGGCAAGUAUAAAUCUCCAUUUUCACAGAUUGUAUGGUGUUAAGCAGACGGUGAACCUUGGUUGAAAAUUCAGUUACAAAGCAUUGUGGGGAUCAAAUGGCAUUAUUAUGUUUCCACAAAAGUAGGAGAAAAGGGAGGAGAAAGAACAUGAAAAAAUUCUAAAAAAACAACUGUAAAUAAAAGAAUACCUUAACUGUAAUACA